rnacentral:rRNA from 1 species
GAUGAACGCUGGCGGCGUGCUUAACACAUGCAAGUCGAACGGAAAGGCCCAAGCUUGCUUGGGUACUCGAGUGGCGAACGGGUGAGUAACACGUGGGUGAUCUGCCCUGCACCUCGGGAUAAGCCUGGGAAACUGGGUCUAAUACCGGAUAGGACCACUUCUUGGAUGUUGUGGUGGAAAGUUUUUUCGGUGUGGGAUGAGCUCGCGGCCUAUCAGCUUGUUGGUGGGGUAAUGGCAUACCAAGGCGUCGCCGGGUAGCCGGCCUGAGAGGGUGUACGGCGACAUUGGGACUGAGAGACGGCCCAGACUCGGAAGGGAGGCAGAAGGGGGGAAUAUUGCACAAGGGGCGCAAGCCUGAUGCAGCGAGGCCGCGUGGGGGAUGACGGCCUUCGGGUUGUAAACUCCAUUCGCUAGGGACGAAGCGUUUUGUGACGGUACCUGGAGAAGAAGCACCGGCUAACUACGUG